GGCGGGUUGACGGAUCGGUUACGUGACGGAUUGCAACCCCGUUCAGGCGAGUUCGACUCUCGCACCCGCCUCCA
rnacentral:tRNA from 1 species